GGGGAUGUACCGGUUUCGACAGGAGAUUCCGGUUCAUAAACAGCGAGUCGGGAUUCUGCCUACCCCGUAAAACGGCGGACAAAAAUAAACGCAAAAUCUGAUUUUGCUUUAGCAGCGUAAGCUGGCUAAUGUCCCCUGAAGUUUUCCUAUGACUUCAGGCUGACAUCAACCAAUAGGAUACCAAUGAAGGAUUUUUCGGGACUUCCUUGGGAACCUCAUUCCGGAAUCGGCAAAGGCAGUUUGUUCCUGUACGAUACUUUGCUUAAAUCAUAAAACAGUAACUGCACUCGGAGAGGUUUAUGGGACGGGCUUUUUGGACAGGGGUUCGACUCCCCUCAUCUCCACCA
rnacentral:tmRNA from 1 species